rnacentral:rRNA from 1 species
UGUGUAGGCGGUUCUUUAAGUUUGGUGUGAAAUCUCCCGGCUUAACCGGGAGGGUGCGCCGAAUACUGAGGGACUAGAGUACGGGAGUGGAAAGUGGAAUUCCUGGUGUAGCGGUGAAAUGCGUAGAUAUCAGGAGGAACACCGGUGGUGUAGACGGCUUUCUGGACCGUAACUGACGCUGAGACACGAAAGCGUGGGUAGCAAACAGGAUUAGAUACCCUGGUAGUCCACGCCCUAAACGAUGCAUAUUUGGUGUGGGCAGUUCAUUCUGUCCGUGCCGGAGCUAACGCGUUAAAUAUGCCGCCUGGGGAGUACAGUCGCAAGGCUGAA